GGAGAGGUGCCAGAGCGGUCGAAUGGGCCACCCUGGAAAGGUGGUAGGCUGGUAACGGUCUCGGGAGUUCGAAUCUCCCCCUCUCCG
rfam:Candidatus Wildermuthbacteria bacterium RIFCSPHIGHO2_01_FTLL_49_22b rifcsphigho2_01_scaffold_21364, whole genome shotgun sequence.